rnacentral:rRNA from 1 species
AGCAGCCGCGGUAAUUCCAGCUCCAAUAGCGUAUAUUAAAGUUGCUGCAGUUAAAAAGCUCGUAGUUGAAUUUCGGGACUAAUAUGUCGGUCGUGCCUUGGUACGUACUGGUUUAUUGGUUUCUCCUUUCUGAAGAACCAUGAUGUCAUUUAUUUGGUGUCGUGGGGAAUUAGGACUGUUACUUUGAAAAAAUUAGAGUGUUUAAAGCAGGCUCACGCUUGAAUACAUUAGCAUGGAAUAAUGAAAUAGGACGUUUGAUUCUAUUUUGUUGGUUUCUAGGAUCGACGUAAUGAUUAAUAGGGAUAGUUGGGGGCAUUAGUAUUCAAUUGUCAGAGGUGAAAUUCUUGGAUUUAUUGAAGACUAACUACUGCGAAAGCAUUUGCCAAGGAUGUUUUCAUUAAUCAAGAACGAAAGUUAGGGGAUCGAAGACGAUCAGAUACCGUCGUAGUCUUAACCAUAAACUAUGCCGACUAGGGAUCGGAUGAUGUUAAUUUUUUAAUGACUCAUUCGGCGCCUUACG